rnacentral:rRNA from 1 species
UUGACCUCGGAUCAGGUAGGAAUACCCGCUGAACUUAAGCAUAUCAGGAAGGCGGAGGAAA